AUUGAACGCUGGCGGCAGGCCUAACACAUGCAAGUCGAGCGGAUGAACGGAGCUUUCUCCUGGCUUCCGCGGCCGACGGGCGAGUAAUGCCUAGGAAUCUGCCUGGUCGUGGGGGAUAACGUCCGUACACGGGCGCUAAUACCGCAUACGUCCUUAUGGUGAACCUGGGGGAUCUUCGGACCUCACGCUAUCAGCUGAGCCUAGGCCGGAUUAGCUAGUUGGUGAGGUAAAGGCCUACCAAGGCGACGAUCCGUAGCUGGUCUGAGAGGCUGAUCAGACACACUGGAACUGAGACACGGUCCAGACUCCUACGGGAGGCAGCAGUAGGGAAUAUUGGGCAAUGGGCGAAAGCCUGAUCCAGCCAUGCCGCGUGUGUGAAGAAGGUCUUCGGAUUGUAAAGCACUUUAAGUUGGGAGGAAGAGAAGUAAGAUAAUACCUUGCUGUUUUGACGGUACCAACAGAAUAAGCCCCGGCUAACUUCGUG
rnacentral:rRNA from 1 species